rnacentral:misc_RNA from 1 species
UGUAGGAGUGAGCCUGCUCGCGAUAGCGGUGUGUCAGACAAUGAAUGAUUGACUGACACACCCCCAUCGCGAGCAGGCUCACUCCUACA